GAUGAACGCUGGCGGCGUGCCUAAUACAUGCAAGUCGAGCGAACAGACGAGGAUCUUGCUCCUCUGACGUUAGCGGCGGACGGGUGAGUAACACGUGGAUAACCUACCUAUAAGACUGGGAUAACUUCGGGAAACCGGAGCUAAUACCGGAUAAUAUAUUGAACAGCAUGGUUCAAUAGUGAAAGACGGUUUUGCUGUCACUUAUAGAUGGAUCCGCGCCGCAUUAGCUAGUUGGUAAGGUAACGGCUUACCAAGGCAACGAUGCGUAGCCGACCUGAGAGGGUGGUCGGCCCCACUGGAACUGAGACACGGCCCAGACCCCUACGGGAGGCAGCAGUGGGGAAUCUUCCGCAAUGGGCGAAAGCUUGACGGAGCAACGCCGCGUGAGUGAUGAAGGGCUUCGGAUCGUAAAACUCUGUUAUUAGGGAAGAACAAAUGUGUAAGUAACUAUGCACGUCUUGACGGUACCUAAUCAGAAAGCCACGGCUAACUACGUG
rnacentral:rRNA from 1 species